rnacentral:rRNA from 1 species
UACGUAGGGGGCUAGCGUUGUCCGGAAUCAUUGGGCGUAAAGAGCGUGUAGGCGGCCCGGUAAGUCCGCUGUAAAAGUCAAAGGCUCAACCUUUGAAUGUCAGUGGAUACUGCCGGGCUAGAGUCCGGAAGAGGCGAGUGGAACUCCUGGUGUAGCGGUGGAAUGCGCAGAUAUCAGGAAGAACACCAACGGCGAAGGCAGCUCGCUGGGACGGUACUGACGCUGAGAAGCGAAAGCAUGGGGAGCGAACAGG